AGCAGGUCCAAAGAUAGCGAGUUAUCUCCAUUCAGUGUUCACAAUUACAGGCCAAGCGCUUUGUUCCACUCUUUCGCCCCUUCUCACUUCUGCACUUGACUAGUCUUUA
ensembl:misc_RNA Y_RNA Y RNA